CCUUGAAAUACCACCCUUUAAUGUUUGAUGUUCUAACGUGGACCCGUGAUCCGGGUUGCGGACAGUGUCUGGUGGGUAGUUUGACUGGGGCGGUCUCCUCCUAAAGAGUAACGGAGGAGCACGAAGGUUGGCUAAUCCUGGUCGGACAUCAGGAGGUUAGUGCAAUGGCAUAAGCCAGCUUGACUGCGAGCGUGACGGCGCGAGCAGGUGCGAAAGCAGGUCAUAGUGAUCCGGUGGUUCUGAAUGGAAGGGCCAUCGCUCAACGGAUAAAAGGUACUCCGGGGAUAACAGGCUGAUACCGCCCAAGAGUUCAUAUCGACGGCGGUGUUUGGCACCUCGAUGUCGGCUCAUCACAUCCUGGGGCUGAAGUAGGUCCCAAGGGUAUGGCUGUUCGCCAUUUAAAGUGGUACGCGAGCUGGGUUUAGAACGUCGUGAGACAGUUCGGUCCCUAUCUGCCGUGGGCGCUGGAGAACUGAGGGGGGCUGCUCCUAGUACGAGAGGACCGGAGUGGACGCAUCACUGGUGUUCGGGUUGUCAUGCCAAUGGCACUGCCCGGUAGCUAAAUGCGGAAGAGAUAAGUGCUGAAAGCAUCUAAGCACGAAACUUGCCCCGAGAUGAGUUCUCCCUGAGACUUUAAGUCUCCUGAAGGAACGUUGAAGACGAC
rnacentral:rRNA from 1 species